GGGGAGUGGCGGGGCGGCGGCGCGGCACGGCGCAGGGCGGGCGCGGCGGGUGGCGGGGCUGGGCUGGCCGAGCACUGCGCGCCGGCGGCUGACGGGGCAGAGCGCACGACGCCGCCUACGCGCGAGCUGCAACCUCCUACCGUCGUCGCCGCCAGCACAGGAGGGGGGCCAAGACGUCUCUCCAACGGGGGGCUAGCGCAGGACCGCGUCAGGCGUCCAAAAGAAGGAAGAUGCCUCGCGGCGACAGAGAAAGCGACUGGAGGGAAAAGGAGCAGUUCCGCAAACUGUUCAUUGGCGGCUUAAGCUUUGAAACAACAGAGGAAAGCUUGAGGAGUUAUUACGAGCAAUGGGGAAAGCUUACAGACUGUGUGGUUAUGAGGGAUCCUGCAAGCAAAAGAUCAAGGGGGUUUGGUUUUGUAACAUUCUCCUCCAUGGCUGAAGUAGACGCAGCCAUGGCUGCAAGACCUCACACGAUUGAUGGAAGGGUGGUUGAGCCUAAGAGAGCUGUGGCUAGAGAGGAAUCUGGAAAACCUGGUGCUCAUGUUACUGUGAAAAAACUGUUUGUUGGUGGUAUUAAAGAGGACACUGAAGAGCACCACCUUCGUGACUACUUUGAGGAAUACGGAAAAAUUGACACUAUUGAAAUCAUUACUGACAGACAGUCUGGUAAAAAGAGAGGGUUUGGAUUUGUUACAUUUGAUGACCAUGAUCCAGUUGAUAAAAUUGUAUUGCAGAAAUAUCACACUAUCAACGGCCAUAAUGCAGAAGUAAGGAAAGCUCUCUCUAGACAGGAAAUGCAGGAAGUCCAAAAUUCUAGGAGUGGGAGAGGAGGGAACUUCGGUUUUAGUGAUGCACGUGGAGGUGGUGGCAACUUUGGUCCAGGACCUGGCAGCAAUUUCAGAGGGGGAGCCGGUAAGACAGAUGGAUAUGGAAGUGGCCGUGGAUUCGGUGAUGGAUACAAUGGAUAUGGUGGAGGACCUGGAGGUGGCAACUUUGGUGGCAGUCCUGGUUAUGGAGGAGGAAGAGGAGGAUAUGGUGGAGGAGGACCUGGAUAUGGCAACCAGGGUGGGGGCUAUGGAGGUGGUUAUGACAACUAUGGAGGAGGCAAUUAUGGAAGUGGAAAUUAUAAUGAUUUUGGAAACUACAACCAACAACCAUCAAACUAUGGUCCAAUGAAGAGUGGAAAUUUUGGUGGAAGCAGGAACAUGGGGGGACCAUAUGGUGGAGGGAACUAUGGUCCCGGGGGCAGUGGAGGAAGUGGUGGAUAUGGAGGGAGGAGCCGUUACUGAGUUUCUGCAAGCAUGCCAUGGGCUUCACUGUAUAAAUAGGAGAGGAUGAGAGCCCAGAGGUAACAGAACAGCUGCAGGUUAUCGAAAUAACAUUGUUAAGGAAACACUUAUCUCAGUCAUGCAUAAAUAUGCAGUGAUAUGGCAGAAGACACCAGAGCAGAUGCAGAGAGCCAUUUUGUGAAUGGAUUUGGAUUAUUUAAUAACAUUACCUUACUGUGGAGGAAGGAUUGUAAAAAUGCCUUUGAGACAGUUUCUUAGCUUUUUAAUUGUUGUUUCUUUCUAGUGGUCUUUGUAAGUGUAGAAGCAUUCCUUUGAUAAUGUUAAAUUUGUAAGUUUCAGGUGACAUGUGAAACCUUUUUUAAGAUUUUUCUCAAAGUUUUGAAAAGCUAUUAGCCAGGAUCAUGGUGUAAUAAGACAUAACGUUUUCCUUUUAAAAUUUAAGUGCGUGUGUAGAGUUAAGAAGCUGUUGUACAUUUAUGAUUUAAUAAAAUAAUUCUAAAGGAAAUAUUGUGUAAUUUUAGAUUUUUUUUUUUUAAUAUUGUAAAAUAAGGCAAGGAGUGGGUAGUAUAAGGUCCCACGAAUAAUAUAAAGCUAUUGUUGUACAUGUAAAAUUAAAUGCUGGUCAGAAAAAGUAUGUUGUCUGUAAAUGAUCAGGUUUAAAAUAUCUAGAUAACUUAAGGGAUAUCUCUGCAAGGAGAAACACCUUUUUAGAUCUUUUAGAUGCUGCUUCUUCAAUGGCAAGGAAAGGAAAUAUCCCCAGCGAGGUACUCUUCCAGGGACACAGGUCUAGUACAAGAGAACUCUUGAAAACGUCACUAAGUUCAGCCAGUCUUAAAAAGCUGCGCUGUAUUUCUGCAAAGCUUUAACUACAGUAGUAUAUAAGGAUGCCAACGAAGGCUGAGGGUGUAGAGCAAAAUAGUUCUAAGCUUCAGUUAAACUUCUUUAGCUAUGGUAUGAACCCUGGACAAGCAUAGACUGCUGCCACUGUACACUGCUACAGUUGAACAGACCUGCAAGUGUCCAUUAGUAAAGCUUUGCAAGGGUUCCAUCCCUGGUGUUGGUAGUUAAAAUGGAAGGUGCCAUGCUGCAGGUAACUAAUGAAGAAGUGGUCAACCACAGAAACGCUUCAAGAAAUAAGAAAUUCUGUACCAUCAGAAAAUAGUUGUUUUUGCUGCCUUCAUUAAAAAUCUAGAGGUUAAAUGAGUACUGAUAAAAGAUCACAAUUAGUACAGCUCCCUGUAAUGCUGGGUUUUUUAAAUUAUAGUCAUAAUGUCUUGUAAACCUUUCAAAUAAAAUUCAGAUUUGGUAGGAGAAACAAAUCACUAAUGUUAAAACAGCAAACGUUCUGUGAGUAGAAAGUUUAACUACAUAUUUUUAUAAUUUUCAUAGCUUUAAAAUAAAGUAUUUUUAUACCAAAAUAGUUCUAGUGUAAUGCUUAAUAAUACCUAGUGUUUGUCUAACAUUAAAUAAUGUUUAUGUGCAGCUUUUAGACCCUUUCAUGAUUUGAAACAUUCCAUUUUGAAGUGGAUUUAAAACAAAGUCAACUUGGCAAGUGUAUUCACAGAACUUGUAUCUCAGACCAUAGCCAUCUGUUCUCUGUUAAGAGAAACAGUGCUACAAAUUAAAAACGUUGAUCUUUUUGCUCUUGGACACAAUUGCUUUAAAAUAGCUUUUUGGCUGUUUUAUAUCACUUUAUAAAAACAUUUCCUCCUUUCCUAUUAAUGAAACUUAACAAGACAGUUUGUCAAAAUGUGAUAGGAGAAUAGCCUUAUCCUUUUCACCUGUAAAGAGCUUUUAGCAUCAAAAGAUUGAAUGGAAUGUAGAGUUCUGCUGUACAAGAACUGUAUUACUGAGAGCUGCAUCUUCGGAGGAGGGACACAAAAAAUGACUCCCCCCAAAAAAAAAACCCAACCCCAACAGAAAAAGACAUCCCCCAAAAAAACACCAAACCAAACUCCAAGUGUGAGCUUGGGAAAGCUUCAGUUGGGAAUGUAUUUGAGGGAAGGUAUCUUCAGCCUAUACUAUUUUAACCUGUUACAUACACGGUUUAUUGUGAACUUGAAAUUUAUGUGGUUAACUUCAGGAGAAUCAUAAUGUCUUUAACUUUCUUUUAUAGAACUCAAAAAUACUGUUUUAAGGAUUCACAUGCGGGUUUUUUCUGUUCCUUAAAUUGCACUUUGAAAUACUUGCAUAGGUAACCAGUGGGCUGCAGCGGAAGCAGGAAAUGAAGAUGCACAAAAUCUGCUUUACUUUCUUCUUUCCAACAGAAUGAGUUGACCAGAUAAUAAGGAAUUUGCCUUCUUUCCUGUAACUUAGAUUUAGCUGAUGGAAGUUUUUCUUUACAGUUGCCAAGUCCGCAUUCAUACAACGUUAAAAAAUAAAAAAUGAAACAAUGGUUCGAAAGGGAAUAAUACUUUUUUCUUUCUGUUUGUGAUACUUAAACUCUUCCAGUAGUUUUGCAGCAAGGCUUAGAAUUUACUUUUAAGUACGUUAUAUUUUCUAUAAUGAGGAUGUUUUAAUUGUGGCUUACUGGUGAUAGGGGAAGGGGACAGCACUAUGUGAAAACUCAGUUACUGGAUAUUUAAAGUUUUGAAAGAGUAUUUGAGUAAAUUUCAUGUUGUCUUACUGUUGAACUUUCAUGACAUUUCUUUCUUGGUAUGUUCUUAAGUAUGUGACAAACACACUGUUCACUGAUGAGUUCACUGAGAGAAGUUUUGCCAUAUUGAGGCAGCCUGAUAGAGAAAGCUAGCAACUUCAAAAAGAAGACAACUGUGUGCGGUCAAUUACUGGUCUUCAGAUUUCAAAUAAAUAGGGUUUUGUCACUCCUACUGACUUCGUUUUCAAAGUAAGGGUAACACUAAUGGUCAGUAUGUUUAUUAAGGAUCAAGUUGGUACUAGACCGAGCUUGCACCAGACAAAUACUUUUUGCAGUAAACUGAGGGAAGGAUGUGAAAGAACAUAACUUGUUGGUAACCUGUAUGAGAGAAAAGAAAAAAAUCCCAAAAACUGAAGCGUGUGACUUGCAGUUUGUAAAGUGGUGGUAUACAGAGGUCUAUACUAGGGUUCUUGCUACUUCAACUUUGUGUUCUCUGUGUUAUCUACAAUGAAAGUUGAAUUUUAUUCAGGUCUGUUUGCUUCAGGUGCUGAAAAGUGUUUUGGGAAACACUAGCAAAAUUUCAGCAAAAAAUUGAACAUUGUAAAAUUAGCAGGAACUGAACGUUGUCACAUGUAGGGAAGAAGAUUUCAUUCUUUUAUAAUGAAUGUACACAUUCUCUGGGAGAUGAAAUCAUACUACUGGGAAAGAAAAAAACCCCCAAGAAACACAGAUACGAAUUUUGAAGGAGCUGUCUGUUUGUUUUGGCAGCUUGACCUCAUUUGUGAAAGGGAUGAUUUGCUCAGCACAUGCUGGAACAGGAUAUUCCAUGUAGCUUUAGUCUUUCAGUUUGUUUUCAAAGGCAAAGUGGGUGGUGCAAGUGACAUCCCGCAGAGGUGCUGUUACUUUUUUUUCCUCCUGAAGGAGAUGGUGGGUUCUCAUUUAUAGAGAGAUGCUGGUGGGAAUGCCUGAGAGUGUAACAUGGAAGAGCUUUUUUUUUUCUUGGGUAAUGUUGGUCAAGUACUGUCCUUUUUAACAGUUGUGUCCUUGCUUUGGCGCAGAAAUUUGUGUUGUCAGGAGUUAACUGCAGUUAAUGAAGAAUGGUUUAUCAGCAGUAAAAGUAAACUGUUUAAGUGGCUGUGUGACUUGUCUGAUGAAGUGUUGUGGGCAUACUAGGUUUGGGAACGAUAUAGUGUACAAACUAGCUUACAAACUAGUUUACAAACAGUGUAACCUAUGCUGCUGCAUUGUAUGAACAAGAUGUCUGGACAAAUUCUAGAAAACUGCUGUUCCCCUUAAGUUCUCACCAACCCAUCUCUCCCUGACAUUCCCUAGCUUCCUCUUGUUCUGAUCUUUCAUGGUCCUUUUUGGGGUGUUAUUGUAUGAAAAUCAAUGUCUGAUGCAUUUAGUGGAGUUAGUCACAAUGCUUUUAUGUGGUAUGCUGCAGUAAUAAGACCUAAGAUGGCUGCAUUUCCAUCCCUAUUUGGUUUAUUUAAUAAAUAUUUUUUCACUGGAA